rnacentral:rRNA from 1 species
AACGAACGCUGGCGGCAGGCCUAACACAUGCAAGUCGAGCGAGGACUUCGGUCCUAGCGGCGGACGGGUGAGUAACGCGUGGGAACGUGCCCUUUGGUUCGGAAUAGCCCCGGGAAACUGGGAGUAAUACCGGAUAAGCCCUACGGGGGAAAGAUUUAUCGCCAAAGGAUCGGCCCGCGUUGGAUUAGGUAGUUGGUGGGGUAAUGGCCUACCAAGCCGACGAUCCAUAGCUGGUUUGAGAGGAUGAUCAGCCACACUGGGACUGAGACACGGCCCAGACUCCUACGGGAGGCAGCAGUGGGGAAUCUUAGACAAUGGGGGAAACCCUGAUCUAGCCAUGCCGCGUGAGCGAUGAAGGCCUUAGGGUUGUAAAGCUCUUUCAGUGGGGAAGAUAAUGACUGUACCCACAGAAGAAGCCCCGGCUAACUCCGUGCCAGCCGCCGCGGUAAUAC